GAUGAAGAACGCAGCGAAAUGCGAUACGUAAUGUGAAUUGCAGAAUUCAGUGAAUCAUCGAGUCUUUGAACGCACAUUGCGCCCGCCAGCAUUCUGGCGGGCAUGCCUGUUCGAGCGUCAUUUCAACCCUCGACCUCCCCUUGGGGAGGUCGGCGUUGGGGACCGGCAGCACACCGCCGGCCCUGAAAUGGAGUGGCGGCCCGUCCGCGGCGACCUCUGCGCAGUAAUACAGCUCGCACCGGGACCCCGACGCGGCCACGCCGUAAAACACCCAACUUCUGAACGUUGACCUCGAAUCAGGUAGGACUACCCGCUGAACUUAAGCAUAUCAAUAAGCGGAGGA
rnacentral:misc_RNA from 1 species